UUGUUGUAGGGGAACACUGGAAUGUUUUGUGAAGUACUCAGUUUGUAGUGAACCUACCUUGCAAAGAGUGUUGCUCUGCCAUCGGCUUGAUCGCUUCAUGGAACAUGGGCCCACAGACUGGUGGAAUCCUCCUGCUGGAAGGGGCCAGCUGAAAGACACAACAUUGUAUAACCUUGUCUGGACCUAACCAAGCUGAAGCUAAGAUUCAGUGACAUUGAUAUAAGUGAU